UGAGGAAUAUUGGUCAAUGGGCGGGAGCCUGAACCAGCCAAGCCGCGUGAGGGAGGAAGGCCCUAUGGGUCGUAAACCUCUUUUGUCAGGGAACAAAAGCGAAUAUGUAUACUAGUCUGAGUGUACCUGAAGAAAAAGCAUCGGCUAACUCCGUGCCAGCAGCCGCGGUAAUACGGAGGAUGCGAGCGUUAUCCGGAUUUAUUGGGUUUAAAGGGUGCGUAGGCGGCGGUGCAAGUCAGCGGUAAAAGCCCGGGGCUCAACCCCGGCGAGCCGUUGAAACUGCAGUGCUAGAGAAGGUGAGAGGUACGCGGAAUGCGCAGUGUAGCGGUGAAAUGCUUAGAUAUUGCGCAGAACUCCGAUUGCGAAGGCAGCGUACUGGCGCCUGACUGACGCUGAGGCACGAAAGCGUGGGGAUCGAACAGGAUUAGAUACC
rnacentral:rRNA from 1 species